rnacentral:tRNA from 1 species
UUUAAAUAAUUUAAUAUAAAAUAUUGAUUUGUGGAGUCAAAAAUAUGAGAAUAUCAUUUUAA